rnacentral:lncRNA from 1 species
UGGGAACCCAAUGACCACGAACCAACAGAACCUCUUAUGUUUUACUCAGGUCUAUGAGUUAGAGAAAAAGAUGCUCGCUCAGUAGUCACAAACAUCUUAAUUUCAAGAUGAAUGGUUGAUUAACGAAUAAUGCUGUAAUUGUCUGCUAAUCAGAAAUAGUAAAUGUUGGCCAAUUCAUAAUGGCAUUACUGCUUCACAGUGCUUCACGAUCCUAUGUUUUAGUCUGAGUGGACCAUAGGAUUCCUCUCAGUUCCACUCAAUAUUUGCUGAGCCAACUGUUUUAAUGUCACAGCACAACUUCAGAUAUUUGUUCAGGAGUGUAUCUAUAUUAAUCACCAUAAGGAGCAACAGAUCUCCAGGCUACCUCUCAAUAAAAAUGACACUGUUUAGGAUAAAGAAAAACAAAAGAAAAUGAUAGAAUGAAACAAGAGAAGUUAAAGAGAAGUUAUAGAGACUAAGUUUCACUCCUGGUCUGAAAUGAUAUCCCUUUCUGACAGGGGUCCAAGAGUGCAUGACAUCAUAAAUCCAGCAAUACAUGCAGUAACAGCAGAGCAUUGUGAUGUAUGACCAUGGUGUUCAGCACUGUUUUUUAAACACUGUAGUGCAGGGUAAUCACAGAAAUGCAAAGGAAAGAUGUUUAGAUCCAUAUGUCCAUAGAUACAACAUGAUGAUAUCUGGUGCUGCAAAUCAUUUAACCCUCAGAAAAAAACCUGGAAAAUUUCAAAGGGCAGCUUCUUAUGGGGAAACAAUGAGAUGAAGAAGAUCACAGCAGAAGACCUAAUUACUCAUUAUCUUCAACCUAAACCACGAUUAUGCAGCUGCACUGUCUGUGGAGACUUGAGAACAGACAGAGAAAUCCCUUGGAGCAGGGGCGUGAGGCUGCACUCAGAAUAUUGGUAAAUCUUGUCAAGUUUUUUCCUAGCUUAGAUUUUGUUACUUUUUUCAAAGACUGCUUUUUCUGCUGAAACAUUUAAGAGUCCAGAUAAGCAGCAUCAUGUCUAGGCUUUCAUCCUGAGUAAAAGUUUUUGUAGAGAAGAGCUUGUUGUGCUCUGAAGAGGUGGCUGGGAAUGCAUCCACUCUAUGAAAUGCCUGAAUUUCACCUAGAGUGCUUUCACUAAUUCAUGAUUAUGAAGCUAUGGAAUUGAGAUUUCAAAAAUGACACUCUUUUCCUAAGUAUUCUAUAGGCAUUUAAGUUCAGAAAAUAUCUAAUAAAAGCAAAUUUAUUGAAUAGAUUCA